AACGAACGCUGGCGGCAGGCCUAACACAUGCAAGUCGAGCGAGAUCUUCGGGUCUAGCGGCGGACGGGUGAGUAACGCGUGGGAAUAUGCCUCUUGGUACGGAAUAGCCUCGGGAAACUGGGAGUAAUACCGUAUGUGCCCUUUGGGGGAAAGAUUUAUCGCCAAGAGAUUAGCCCGCGUUGGAUUAGGUAGUUGGUGGGGUAAUGGCCUACCAAGCCGACGAUCCAUAGCUGGUUUGAGAGGAUGAUCAGCCACACUGGGACUGAGACACGGCCCAGACUCCUACGGGAGGCAGCAGUGGGGAAUCUUAGACAAGGGGGGCAACCCUGAUCUAGCCAUGCCGCGUGGGUGAUGAAGGCCUUAGGGUUGUAAAGCUCUUUCAGCUGGGAAGAUAAUGACGGUACCAGCAGAAGAAGCCCCGGCUAACUCCGUG
rnacentral:rRNA from 1 species